GUCCGGCCCGGCGGGGCGCAGUUCGGCCUUCGGGCGGUCGGCCUCGACGGGCACCGGCGGCAGCAGAGCCGGUUCGAUGCCGGCGGCGGCCA
rnacentral:tRNA from 1 species